AUCUGGCUUACUGAGAAAGAAAGUGAAGCAGGAUGUGACUUGUACUGUCUUCAUACUGAGUCUAAGAGUACUCUGCAAGGCACUAUUUACAGUAACAUAAUUAAACUUUUCCUAAAUAGAAUGAGUUAGAAAACAGUUAUUCUCUGAGUGACUGUCAUGUUUUGGUGUCAAACUGAAAAGGCUUGAGGUGCUUUUGCUGAUCUCUCACAGACCUUGUUUAAACAGAUAUUACCAUUAGAGAUUUCAAUCACCGAUCAGAAAACUCUUGAAAGGCAGUCAAGUGAGCAUAAAGUUGGGCAGGUCAGACAAUCUACUUUCUGAAGCAAUCUGAUAGUGUGGAUUUUGCAGAGAAAACCAGAUUCCAUGACCACUGAUGCCCAUCUCCCCUCAAAAUUAUAUCAAGCUUAACAGUGGCAGGCCACCAUCCCAUUUGAUGAUAAAGAUGUGUGCUGAGACAUGAAAUUGAGCAUCUUCUGAAUGUUCAAUACUGUUUGAAAGGGCAGUAGCAGAAGGCAAUUAAGAAAAAAGCAAAGCUACAUGAUAAGUUAGAGAAAACUGAUCUUAUAACAUUAGUAAUUGCUUCUCAUGCUGGAAAAAAUGUAUCCACAGAGAUGACACACAAUUUAUUGUUCUGAAAGUUUACAGAAAAUUGCCUAGAGUCAAAGAGAAAUGUACCUAUGA